rnacentral:rRNA from 1 species
GAUGAACGCUGGCGGCGUGCCUAAUACAUGCAGGUCGAACGCGCAGCGAAAGGUGCUUGCACCUUGCAAGCGAGUGGCGAACGGGUGAGUAACACGUGGAUAACCUGCCUCAAGGCUGGGGAUAACAUUUGGAAACAGCUGCUAAUACCGAAUAAAACUUAGUAUCGCAUGCUAUAAAGUUAAAAGGCGCUACGGCGUCACCUAGAGAUGGAUCCGCGGUGCAUUAGUUAGUUGGGGGGGUAAAGUCUUACCAAGACAAUGAUGCAUAGCUGAGUUGAGAGACUGAUCGGCCACAUUGGGACUGAGACACGGCCCAAACUCCUACGGGAGGCUGCAGUAGGGAAUCUUCCACAAUGGGCGCAAGCCUGAUGGAGCAACGCCGCGUGUGUGAUGAAGGCUUUCGGGUCGUAAAGCACUGUUGUAUGGGAAGAAAUGCUAAAAUAGGGAAUGAUUUUAGUUUGACGGUACCAUACCAGAAAGGGACGGCUAAAUACGUGCCAGCCGCCGCAGUAA